UUUUGCUCUCUCACAACCUGGCCACCUGGAAAUAACUGCAGAAGCUCCAGUUACCUGAAAAAAGUUGCCAGAUAGGAUGUUGGCAGUCCCUGUAGAGAAACAAGAAAAGAGGUGUUGCUUUGAUUGAAGAGUGGAGCAGUUGGAGAUCUGUUGAAAAGGGAAUCAGGAAGAGAGAAGAGAAGGACAGAUUAUGGGCCACUCCUGCUUCUGGAUCUUUCUGGUGUCCAUGUCUCUGUCUCACCAGGUGGUCACUGCACAGCCUGAAGCAUGUCGGACGGCAGGGCCUGCUGACAUUGUUUUCCUGGUGGAUGAGUCUUGGAGUGUGGGCCAGGCCAGCUUUUCCCUGGUUAAAGACUUCAUCUCUGCCAUCAUUAACUCUUUCCAGGAUAGUGUCGUGGGGGCUGAGGGAGUUCGCUUUGGGGUCACCGUCUACGGAGACAUACCUAGGAUGCGCAUUGCUCUGACAGACUACAGCAGUCUAGACGAGGUUCUGAGCGCAGUGAUGGAACUCCCCUUUGAAGGCGGGGCCAGCCGGACAGGCGACGCCCUCCAGUUCUUGGUGGAUUACGUCUUCAGCACAGCAAUCGCCAGGGACAACACCCCAAAGAUUGUGGUUCUGAUCACAAACGGCCGUUCAGAUGAUCGGGUGGAUGGGCCGGCGAAGGCUGUGGCAGACGGUGGAAUCUCUGUCUAUGCAGUGGGGGUGAGAGGAGCUGACGAAUCAGAGCUCAGGAGGAUCGUGACUGAGCCCCCUGAGGAACACAUGCUUCUAGGCUCCGACUUCUCCCUCCUGGGCGCCCUCCUGCCCAAACUGUCCCGGAGGAUCUGUUUCACAGCAUCGGAACCCCCACGGCCUGUCAAAUACUUCCCCAACGUGGAGGUGCCUGUGGUGGGCCCCCGGGACCUCCAGGUGAGUGAGCUGGCCUACAGCAGUCUCAGGCUGACGUGGAGCCAGGCAACAGGGGACGUCACUGGCUACCGCCUCCUGGUCACUCCCCUCAGCCCCAAGGGACAUCCGCUCACCAGCUUGCAGACCCAGGUUGAUCUGAAGGCUGAGGCGAGGACAUGUGUUGUAACAGAGCUGACCCCUAAGACAGAGUACUCACUGACUGUCCACGCCGUCUACCCAAACCUCGUUGGAGGCUCUGCCACCGCGCUCGCACAAACAACCCCUGUGCCACCAGUCGCCAACUUCCGUGUGAUUGAUGAGGGCCUCUUCUCUCUGAGGAUGGCGUGGACUUCUCCUUUAGGGAAGCUCGAGGGAUACAAGAUCUUCAUCCCCAGACCCAAUAGACCUGGACUGACCUAUGAGCAGCUGCUGGGUGGGGACGUCUCCUCCCAUGUAAUUGACAGCUUGGAGGAGGAUAAGAAGUACACCAUCAGUAUCUAUGCUGUCUACCCACAAGGCCCCAGCGAACCUGUCUCUGUCGUCGGAAAAACAUUGAAACUGGUUCCAGUGCAUGAGUUCCUGGUCCAGAACUUCACCACAGACACAGUGCAGGCCCGCUGGGUGUCAGUUAAAGGAGCCACGGGGUAUCGCCUCACCUGGUCCUCCACAGAUGGCCACAGAGAGAAUGUGAACCUGGGGGAGAACUUCAACUUCUACAUGAUCCAGGGCCUCCAAGCAGGCACUGAGUACACCAUCACUAUCAACCCAAUCUUUGUAGACAUUGAGGGCCCAGUCACCUCUACCAACGCCAAGACACUGAAGAGCAGUGCAGUCCAGACCCUGAAGGCAUCUGCCGUGAACACCAACAGUGCCGUGGUCUCCUGGAACGCCGUCCCUGGGGCCACCGGCUACCGGCUAGCCUGGGGGCCCACCCAAGAGUUUGUGGGCCGGGACCGUCCCAGGCAGAUGGCUCUGAACGGCACCACCACUGAGUACCAUCUGAAGAAUGUGGUCCAUGACACGGAGUACGUCCUCUCUCUCUAUGUCCUCUUCGGGUCACUGGUUGGGCCCGGUAUCACAGCUACAUUCCGCACCUCUCCUUUAGGAUAUGUGUCUAACUUCAAAGUGACCUCCUACACCAGUUCCUCCAUCGACGUGGAGUGGAGCCCCAUCGUAGGGGCGUCAGAGUACAAACUCACCUGGACCAUAGACGGUGACACUCCGCAGUUCCGGUAUCUGGACCGCGGCGUUCUGUUCCACCGCAUUGAGAGUCUCCAACCGGAGACAGUCUACGUGGUCAGCAUCCAGGUGGUCUACGGAAACACAGAGGGCCCAGACAUUUCCCUCUCACAGCUCACAGCGUCUGUGACAGAGUCAGAGCUAAUCCAGGCUGUCAAGGAGGUGAAGGUGGUGGAUGUAGGAGUCAACUCCUUCAAACUGGCCUGGCGGAAGACAACUGGGGUCACUGGCUACAAGAUCACCUGGACCCCCUUCCAUGGUGGCGAUGAGAAGUCCCAGCUUGUAUCUUCCUCCACUUCUUCCUUCACCAUCCCUAAGUUACAGGAGAGCUCUGCCUAUAAGAUCCAGGUAUCGUCGAUGGUGGGGGGCCGAGAAGGAAGUCCGGUCCUAGUCACCGCACGCACUUUGGACCUGCCCAAGGUUAACAGCUUUGCAGCGCUGGACACCACAGACAGCAGUACUACCCUCAACUGGACCAGUGUGGCUGGGGCUUCUGGCUACCUGCUCUCCUGGAGGCACAUCUCAGAGUUGAACAUCAAAAAGGAGAAGCUUGGCCCUGCUCACACCAUGUUCAAGCUGACUGACCUGCUGUAUGGUAGAACCUACAUCUUCACCAUCAGACCAUUGUAUGGAGAGGUGGAGGGACCAGUCACCUCUAUCCAACAUAGGAUAUUGGCCAAGGACCUUCCUCUGGUGUCCGUCCAGUUAGUCCCCGUCACGCCUUCCCCUCUCCCCCCUAACACCAUCACGGCCUCACAGCCCAACCCAGCCAACACCCGCACCCCCGUCACCAAAGCCCGUUCCAAGACCACCACCACAAUCACGGGCAAAACGGCCGCUGCUUCCACCACCAUCGACCAUCUCACAACCAAUACCAGAAACGUCUUACUUUUGGAGAAAGAGACAACUGUUCGACCAGGACCAGUGUGUGCCAACGUAAAGGCGGACAUAGUGUUCCUGGUGGAUGAGUCAUGGAGCAUUGGAUCCAAUAACUUUGCUAAACUCAAGGACUUCCUGUUUCGGAUUGUUGCCUACUUCCCUGUGAUUGGUCCUCAGGGCGCGCAGAUUGCCGUGGUGCAUUACAGUGAUGAGCCAAGAAUUGAGUUCAGACUGAACGACUACAACAACAGGAACUCUGUGCUGAAAGCUCUUCGUGGCGUACGAUAUGGAGGAGGCAACACUAAAACAGGCAAGGGGAUGAAUUAUGUGCUGAAAGAGCUGUUCCAGGAGUCUCUGGGAAUGAGGCAGGAGGUGGCCCACGUUCUGGUGCUGUUGACGGAUGGCCGGGCCGUGGAUGAUGUGGAGCAACCGUCCAGGAUAGCCCAGGCUUAUGGUGUGAGUGUCCUGGCCAUUGGGGUGGCCAGUGCAGACAUGGAGGAGCUGAGGAAGAUUGCCUCUCCAACCAGCUACCAGAAUUUAUUCUAUGCCAGGGACUUUGACGACUUUGACUCCAUAGAGAGAGACUUCAUUAGCAACAUCUGCAGUGAGGCGCUGCUCUCCGAGUUCAGACAACAUGACGAGUCUGCCCAGCUGGACACCCCAACCGAUGACCCUGGUGAGCUGACCAAACCCCAGGGACCCUGCCCCUUACAGUGCAAGGGGCAGAAAGGUGCAAAGGGAGAUGCCUCUGGAAGUAGUGGACUGAGACUCCAGCAGAAUUCUGCGAUGUUUGAAUCGUUUAGCCUCCAGUCCAAAGGAGAAAAAGGGGAGAGAGGACUUCCUGGAACCGAUGGUAUCCCUGGGUUGCCCGGGCGACCAGGACGAACUGGACCCCCAGGUUCAGCAGGACAGCGAGGUGUAGAAGGAGUUCCAGGUGAUUUGGGGCCUCCCGGGGCCACUGGGCCAAAGGGCCAGAGAGGAGAGAGGGGGGAGCCGGGGUAUGUGAUACCAGGCUUAGGGGACAGUCAAUAUGUUCCCGGACGAAAGGGCGAGCCUGGAUCAUCAGGACCCCAAGGGGCUCCUGGUGUACCAGGGGUCUCUGGACCCCCAGGCCUGCCUGGACAGCCAGGGUCACCUGGGUCCCCUGGAAUAUCCAUUAAGGGGGAGACUGGCAUGGCUGGUGCUAAAGGUCUGCGCGGGAAGGCAGGGGCAAAAGGGGAAAAAGGUGAUCACGGUGAUGAUGGCCAAGAAGGGAAACCUGGUCCCAUUGGAGUUGAUGGUGUUCCUGGCUUCCCUGGUCUGAAGGGAGACAAAGGAGAGGAGGGUGUUGGUGUUCCCGGUGUCCAGGGCCCACGUGGAGAGCCAGGGGAAAAGGGAAUAAUAGGCCUGUCGGGACCUGUGGGAGCAAAGGGAGAACCUGGGGUUCAAGGGUUACAAGGACUUAUCGGACCACGGGGAAAGAAGGGACUGAAAGGCAACCAAGGAGAUAAAGGUGAUCGAGGAGACAUGGGGCCUAUGGGACCACAGGGAGUGAUGGGAUUGAUGGGAACUAUUGGACAAAAGGGCGAUGAGGGACAGAGAGGAGUUCCCGGUGACCCAGCCAAAGGGGUCAUUGGUCCCACAGGGAAGAAGGGCACCAGGGGUGACAUUGGUCCUGUCGGUCCAACUGGACCCCAGGGGGUGAAGGGUGUACAAGGUGUCAAAGGGGAAAAGGGUAAUCCUGGCUUUGGUAUUCCUGGACAGCAAGGACCAAAGGGUGAUAACGGUGAGAGGGGAAAUGUUGGCUUGUCUGGGAAACCAGGACCCAAGGGGCAAGAUGGCAUUAAUGGGGAAAAGGGCGAUAUUGGAUUCCCUGGGAAUCCUGGAGCACCAGGACUAAGAGGUAAAGAUGGUGUUUCUGGGGUCAAAGGUGAACCUGGUCUACGGGGUGAGCCGGGAUCAGCGGGUGAGCCUGGUGACAGAGGAAUACGGGGCCCUUUAGGGUUACCGGGACGACCUGGGGACCCGGGAGACAAAGGAGACAAAGGAGAUUCGGGGAACAUUGGUUUUCCUGGAACGGAGGGGAAGAAAGGAGACAGAGGGGAGCCUGGAAAACCAGGACCUCCGGGAGGAGGGUCUUUCAGUUCAGACAACAAUAUCCUGACCAGGGUGAUCAAGGGUGAACCAGGAACUCCUGGAGAACCCGGUCAUAAAGGGGAGACAGGUCAGCCUGGACCCAGGGGCCCUGAUGGAAAAGCAGGACCACCUGGAAAGGGAGUGUCUGGGAUUGGAAGAGAUGGUCUGGAUGGGAUACCAGGCAAGCCUGGAUCUAAGGGUGACCAGGGAAAGAAAGGCGAGCCGGGACUGAGGGGAGAGAAAGGAGACCAAGGCAGAGUGGGGAUCGCUGGAAUUCCUGGUCUACCUGGAACCCCAGGGAGACCUGGCAUUGAUGGGAAGCGAGGGCUGUCUGGAAAAGAUGGUGAAAAAGGACUGAAAGGAGAUGAUGGCCUAAAGGGUGAGAAGGGGGAAUCUGGUGCUGAUGGUCAUAAAGGAGAACCAGGUGCUCCGGGUCCACCUGGUACUCAUGUUCUGGUCACACAAAAAGAGGGUGCCACCAUUGAAGAGAUAAGACAGGCAUUCCCUAUGCCAAUGGGACCUCCUGGGGCUAUGGGCCCAUCUGGGAUGAAGGGAGAACAAGGAGAGAGAGGAUUGAAAGGAGUUAAGGGAGAUGCUGGUCUUCCAGGAAAAAUAAAAGAGAUGAAGGACAUCGAAGUAAUGUUUGAAGACUACGGCAUAAGGCUGCCCUUGCUGAAGGCACUGAUUGAAAGGCUGCUGCAGGAUGGUAUGGAGGAGCUACUUCAGGACCUGACCUCCCCCAGGAGAGCAAAGGAAAAGGAGCAGAGACCAGGCUCCAACAUCAUCUCUGAAUACGCAAGCUCUGUGAAGUACAAGAUCUCUGAAGAGCCUUUGACAAGUUUGGACUCCAUAAAGGAGGAGGCAGACUCCGAACUGGACCGACAGCUACCAGAACCUAACUCUGAUUCAAUGAAUGAAACAGAAGAAGGGCCCACAUUCUGGGAUAUCACCACUCUUAACGGAGACGCAGAUCUGGUGAGGAUGGAGAGCACCUCUGUGGUGAUCCACAACAUUCGGACAGUGGAUAAGGACUCUAGUGAAACUCCCUUGUCUAAGUUCACUUUGUCAAACUCAACAUUUAAUCACAGUAUAUCUGAAGAGAGGAUCUCGGUGGUACCUGGGACUGUAGGAGGGACUGCUCUCCUGAGUGAGGAAGAUUCCUUGAAGAAGAACUCUGGAGAGAGAAAGAAAAAUAAGGAACGGAAGGGAAAGGGAAACAAAGGACGACAUAAGAGGCAAAGACAACGCCUGACAAAUACGGAGCAAGAGGAGGAGGAAGAGGAAUUAUACAUUGGGGAAGAGUACAGUUAUGAAUAUGAGGAUUCAACAGAUGUGUCAUUGUCAGUGGAAGCACAAGGGGAGUUUGAAAUGACAACAGACAGUACUUUCCAUCAAAUUAGAAAAGAGAGUGGAUUAACAACUUUAGCUCCAUAUCCAUCUCCCUCCCCUGAAAACAAUGAAAAGCCACAGAUAUCCUUCACCACCCCGCAACUUUCCAGGCCGACAGAGAAGGAGAGUCCAUCUCAUGUCCUGGUCAGAGUGAGGAAGAGCGCCCCCUGGCCUGACUACAUGUCAUACAUGCCAGGGACUGCAGGAGGAAGAAAUCGAUUCAAGAUGGGACAAAAAUCACAAUCUGGAGCAAGAGGUCACAAAUUAAAUAGAAGGAAACAAAAAGACAGAAAUCUUCAGCCCGUGACUGACUUCCAUACAGAGAUUGAGAGACGAAAAGAGAGGGAAAAUAAUUAUGAGCGAGGGAAAGAUUGGCAGACACAGAAAGAAAGAGACAAAGACCAGGAACUAGCGGAGCAGGAGGCACAAAGGGAAAGGCUGAGAAAUAUGGAUGUGGCGGAAAAGGAAGUCAAAGAGGCUGAAGGCGAGAUGUAUCAUGAUGCAGAAAGUGAGAAAGAGGAGGGAAGUGGCGACUCUGAGUGGGACACUGAGGAUGACAGUGAGUACGAGAGGGAGACAGAGAUGGAAAGGAUGAAGAUGGAGAGAGAGAGGGAAGCAGAGCUCGAGUUGGACAGAGAGAACAUGGAGAGGGAGAGACAACUGGAAAGAGGUGAGGUAGAAAACGAGGGAGACGAAGACAGGGAGAGAGAGAGAACAGAAACGGAGGGAGACAGGGACCUGGACAGGGAGAGGGAAGAGUGGGAGAGACAGAGGUAUGAGAUGGAACGUGAGAUGGGAAGGCAAGGAGAGUAUGAAGAGGAAAGGGAAGGAGAAGGGAGACAAUAUCCGGGACCUGAAUAUGACAAGUUAAAGGGUGCCACAGGGGAAAAUGGACUUCCCGGACCAAAGGGUGAACUUGGUGAAAAAGGACAAAAGGGUGAGCCAGGCAUUGGUCACAGAGGUCCAGUAGGACAGGCUGGUCCACCAGGAACAAAGGGGGAGCCUGGGGCACCGGGGCCCCCAGGGGCUCAGGGCAUCCAAGGUAUCCGUGGUAACCCUGGUAUCCCCGGUUCUCCGGGUCUCAGGGGCCAACCAGGAGAACCAGGAGAGGCGGGGAAAGAGGGGGACAGGGGUAGAAGGGGUAAGAACGGAUCCCCUGGAGCUCCAGGAACUAAGGGCAAACCUGGAACAGAGGGACCACCUGGUUUACCAGGGACCAAAGGAGAGAAAGGUGACAGUAUACCGGGGGAACCAGGUGCGAGGGGCGUAGUUGGAAUCACUGGACGCAGGGGUGAAAAGGGCACCGCGGGAGUCCCUGGGCCGCCUGGGCAUGCUGGUCCAAAAGGCUCAUUGGGAAGCAAAGGAGCAAAGGGUGACCGAGGUUUUCCAGGAAUACGGGGAGAAAGGGGAAGCCCCCUGCAAAUCCAAGGACCUAGAGGUUACAAGGGCAUCAAAGGAGAAUGGGGAGAGCGAGGCUCCCCAGGUUUCGAUGGAGAUAAAGGGGAGAAAGGCGAGGACGGCCCACCUGGGUCCAAGGGACUCAAAGGAGAAGCAGGCGCCAAAGGAGCUAUGGGCCUUUUUGGAGUCCGUGGGCCAGUGGGUCAGAAGGGAGAAACUGGUGAAGCUGGUGUCAAUGGGGAAGUGGGCCGUAAUGGGGAUGAUGGAUUGGAUGGAGCCACAGGAGCCAAAGGAGACAUGGGACUCCAGGGACAGAAGGGAGAUCAGGGUGACAGAGGGGAGCCUGGGUUACCAGGAGAUACAGGGGGGAAAGGAGAGAAGGGAUUCCGUGGUUUACCUGGACGCAUAGGAAGCACUGGACAAGAUGGAGAAAAGGGAGAGACGGGGAUUCCUGGGCCCCCUGGACAUCCAGGUCUCAACGGUCUAACUGGGCGGAAGGGGGACAAAGGGGACGGAGGUAUCAACGGAGUAGCUGGAGCCCCCGGGCUAAAAGGAGAGAAGGGCGCCACUGGUUUCCCAGGGUUUCCUGGGUUUAAGGGGUCAGCAGGCACACCAGGACGUGAUGGGGCGGUUGGCAGACCAGGACUUAACGGGCCAAUGGGAGGAACCGGACCCAAGGGAGAGAAGGGCAGGAGGGGCAGGGGGAAGAUCUGUCAGCGGGGGCCGCCUGGAACUCCAGGACAAAGAGGAGCCGGUGGAGGGCUCGGGAAUGAAGGUCUAAAAGGAGAUAAGGGGGAACCCGGACUCUCCGCUGAGGAGGUAAAGGAACUGGUCAACCAAGAGGUGGUGGAAAAGUGUGGGAUGGAGUUGAAGUUUGUGGUAAAGUCCAAGGACCCAGAUACUGAGAGCCUAUUGUUUAGACAUGACAGGGAGCCAUCGUCCCUCACUGUCGGCCUACCUGGGGAAGAGAAGAUAGGACAGCAGGGUGAGGAAGAGGAUACGAAAACACUUGAAGAGGAGUUGGUACAAACAACCACUCCUCCUUCAGGUAAACUUACAGACAGGGUAGCAGCGUGGGGACUGAGCCACAGGAAAAGAAGGAUCCCUGGAGUAGGACACCGUUCAUCAGAUUUGAACCUUGACCUUUGCCUGCUGCCCAUGUCAGAGGGGGCGUGUUCAGAGUAUGUCUUACUGUGGUACUACCAUCCCCCUUCAAGAGCGUGCCGGCCAUUUGUCUACGGGGGCUGUGAAGGAAACCGCAACCGCUUCAACACCAGGCAGGAGUGUCAGAGGAGGUGUGGGAAAGAGAGGAGGUAAGAAACUACUUCAACACCGGGCAGGAGUGUCAGAGGAGGUGUGGGAAAGAGAGGAGGUUUUGAGCCCAGAAGGUGAGAGCGAGUUCUCCAAUCAAGAUGCAAUUUCUUUGGACAGGACACGUUGUAUAAAUUCAGCAUUUCUGUGCAGCUCUGUUUUUAAAUGUUGUAUAAAAUAAAGAAUAGAAAUACUGAGCUUUAUUUUAUGGCCAAACAAUUAGGGAACUGUAUUAUGUUAUAGUUGUAAAUCAAAAAUGAUUUACAACUUACAGGACAAUGGACAACUUACAGGACAAUGAAUCUUAGCCUAUUUUAAGAGGUUUUCAUGAGACACUUUGUAAGUGGUAUUGGACCAUUCUUCAAUUAAUAAGAAUGUUUCCAGGCCUUUGAGUUCUUCCUACUCUUACCAAAUACUACCCUCUACAACUCACACUACAGGUUUUCACCAGAGUUGAAUGACAUCUAGAGACUGAAACGGCAAAUUGUCACACACUUCCUUUUGAAGUAGCACAGGCAGCUUCAAGUUUGACAGUUUCUGACAGUGUAUGUGGCACCCGAUACAGCAGAGGAAUUACAAUCAGCAUCAUCUUCCAUGAACAAGGGAAACAGGAAAUAAUGCUGCAAUACAGUUUCUUACAAUGAGAAUUAUUUUAAUCGUUAGGACUGCGGAUAAUGACACCUUUCUUUUCUAGAUUUUUAAACAAAAUCUAUAUUCUGAGAAAUGUUAUUAGGAUGAAAUAAUGUUGUUUAAGGUUACAAAAUACCCUUGUAUUGUUAAUAUUUAUAUUGUAGUCCAAUUUGGGUUAGGAUUAAGGUUAGGGUUAUCUUAGGGUACUGCUAAUUUCAGAAGUGACUAUAGAUGACUCACAAUUUAAAUGUUAUGAAUAUGUCUGUUCAUAUUGUUUGUUCAAAUCAAUGUUUUCACAGUACUAUUUUCUAAGUUCUUCAUUUGUUCCAAAUUCUGAGCAUUCAACGAUUUUUGAUCCUACUGAAAUAUGUUUUGUGUACUGUUAUAUGAACCUACAUCAAUGGCACUGUUUAUGUAAAUUGCUCAUGAGAAUGUAAUGUAUUUCAU